rnacentral:rRNA from 1 species
AGCGAACGCUGGCGGCAUGCCUAACACAUGCAAGUCGCACGGGGGGGCUUCGGCCUCCCAGUGGCGGACGGGUGAGGAACGCGUAGGGACCUGUCGAGGGGUGGGGGAUAACCGCGGGAAACUGCGGCUAAUACCGCAUGACGCCGCGGCGUGACAGCCGGGGCCAAAGGCGAAAGCCGCCCGCCGAGGGGCCUGCGUCCGAUUAGCUGGUUGGCGGGGUAGCGGCCCACCAAGGCGGCGAUCGGUAGCUGGUCUGAGAGGGUGAUCAGCCACACCGGGAGUGAGACACGGCCCGGACUCCUACGGGAGGGAGCAGGGGGGAAUAUUGGACAAGGGGCGCAAGUCUGAUCCAGCAAUGCCGCGGGGGUGAAGAAGGUCUUCGGAGUGUAAAGCCCUUUCGGCGGGGACGAUGGUGACGGUACCCGCAGAAGAAGCCCCGGCUAACUUCGUG